rnacentral:rRNA from 1 species
UUGGAGGCAGCAGUGGGGAAUAUUGGACAAUGGGCGAAAGCCUGAUCCAGCAACGCCGCGUGAGGGAUGACGGCCUUCGGGUUGUAAACCUCUUUCAGUGGGGACGAAGCGCAAGUGACGGUACCCACAGAAGAAGCACCGGCCAACUACGUGCCAGCAGCCGCGGUAAUACGUAGGGUGCGAGCGUUGUCCGGAAUUAUUGGGCGUAAAGGGCUCGUAGGCGGUCUGUCGCGUCGGGAGUGAAAACACGGGGCUUAACCCCGUGCCUGCUUCCGAUACGGGCAGACUAGAGGUAUGCAGGGGAGAACGGAAUUCCUGGUGUAGCGGUGAAAUGCGCAGAUAUCAGGAGGAACACCGGUGGCGAAGGCGGUUCUCUGGGCAUUACCUGACGCUGAGGAGCGAAAGUGUGGGGAGCGAACAGGAUUAGAUACCCGGGUAGUCCG